rnacentral:lncRNA from 1 species
CAUAAUGCCCCUCUACUAUCGUAGGUGGGGUAUAAAAAGGAAUGAGUCAAAUCAAACCCCCUUAUUUUGAUAGGAGUAAAAAUGGCAAGGUGAAUGGUUUUACUAGAUUUUUAUAAGUUAAUAUAUGUUUUGUUUCUAAUCCUUUGUUUAAUUAUUUAGACAUUUUAGAACAUGGCCCAGUGUUUUAUCUUUAUAAACUACCUCAUUUUGUAACAAAUUCGAUUAGAGAUUACAUUUUUUCCCUUUUUUGUACAAUUUUCAAUUGUGAAGAAAUUUUUAGUUUUCCAUUUCCAUGUACUGCUAGGGUCUUUGAUUUUAUUUUAUUAUGGACCAAAACCAAUUUUUAUGAUUUAUCUUGCUUACUGAUUCUGUUUAUUACUUUUAUUUGGUUUAUUUUGAUAAAGGUAAUAGCCUAAUUGUGCGUGUCUAUGAAUAUAAAUGA